GCAGUCGUUUCCUGGAAAAACCACAGUAACUUUCUGUAAAUGAACCAGAGUAAAUGGAUUCUUGCAGAGGAAGGAGUGAAGAGGAGCUCGUGGGAAUGGAUAGCUUAUCUCGAUGAAGAAGGCCGCCUAUCAGGAAGGGCGAGUGGUUGGUCUCUCUGGGAUCACAUGCUCAACCUCGGGAUGAGAAGACAUCGUGAUUGGUCGUCCCACCAAGGCCACAUGGAGUGGAGGAGGAAGUAUUUCCCCAAAGGGGAUGCUGCUGUCCACUACUUCUUGGAAAGAGAUGAUCUUCCUUCCCUGCUCCUGGGACAGAGCCUCAGAGCUCUUCCUCCCUGUCUUCGAGUUGACAUCUGGCAGUCAGAAGGCAACGUUCACCAGAAGUACUGCCAGCCUCACCCUUGCAGAGGCUGGCAGCUCUGA
rnacentral:lncRNA from 12 species